CUUACUGCCUCAUAUGAGCUCUUCAUCAACUCCUUCAGGAGGCAAAAAGAAUGAUAUCAUCAGAUCUGACGAGAAAUCAGUGCCCUAGAAUUAAUAUUGUACAGAAGAUUAUUUGAAAUACAGACACCCCUGAUUCCAUGCUGCUUAGACACCGACAACUCCCUCACAGGCCCUCAGACCUCCCAGAUGCCAGUGCAGCUUCGAGAACUUCUGCCUACCGCUACCUUCUCAGUGCUGACAAACCUCCAUUGAUAAGCAACACCUCCCCUCUACCUCUCCCACGACUUUCCCGCAAGAUGCCCGGGAAGAUCCAUCUACUGGCGAUGGUUACAGAGAGAGAGACAGCCAGCGAGAGAGGGAACACAAGCAGG